rnacentral:rRNA from 1 species
AUGCCCGGAUUUGGGCCGAACAGUCCAACUCCAGGAGUUUACGAACAAAAGUUGGUGAAGAUCUCAAUGCAAAAAAGAGGAGUUGAGGAGCUGGGUUUCUCGGGCUCCUCCUCGAGCACACAGUCACUUCCACCGCUAUCCGCAGGAUCCUUGACCUUUUUCACAGUGAUGAUCCUCGGCAUCGACAAGUCCGACCAGUUGCGCGGCCUCCACAUGUACUCAUCCGACGAGCUGAGUUGGAGGAUGCCAAAAACAUUGCUUUUUGACACGACACAGUUCAUCAUGUGUGCGCCGCCCAGGCAUCGUGAUGUUGUCGUGUGUCGUGGUCGUGGUAGAGUGCACUGGAUUUUUAGGGACCAGUCUAAUGUCUGCUCAAACAUAUAUACACUUAAGGUAAACACUGAGAUGUGUUGA